rnacentral:miRNA from 1 species
UGCCCUGCCGUCCAAAAAAUAGA